rnacentral:rRNA from 1 species
AACGAACGCUGGCGGCAUGCCUAACACAUGCAAGUCGAACGAGACCUUCGGGUCUAGUGGCGCACGGGUGCGUAACGCGUGGGAAUCUGCCCCUUGGUUCGGAAUAACAGUUAGAAGUGACUGCUAAUACCGGAUGAUGACUUCGGUCCAAAGAUUUAUCGCCAAGGGAUGAGCCCGCGUAGGAUUAGGUAGUUGGUGGGGUAAAGGCUCACCAAGCCGACGAUCCUUAGCUGGUCUGAGAGGAUGAUCAGCCACACUGGGACUGAGACACGGCCCAGACUCCUACGGGAGGCAGCAGUGGGGAAUAUUGGACAAUGGGCGAAAGCCUGAUCCAGCAAUGCCGCGUGAGUGAUGAAGGCCUUAGGGUUGUGAAGCUCUUUUACCAGGGAUGAUAAUGACAGUACCUGGAGAAUAAGCUCCGGCUAACUCCGUGCCAGCAGCCGCAGUAACAC